GUGUUAAAUUUGACUAAACUUAGAAGCACAUAUACUAAAACUGGAACAAUAAAAAGAAAAUGAGUGUGGUCCUUGCUCAAUGAUGACAUGCAAAUUUGUAAAGAAUUCCUUAUUUAA
rnacentral:snRNA from 1 species